rnacentral:rRNA from 1 species
AUUGAACGCUGGCGGCAUGCCUUACACAUGCAAGUCGAACGGCAGCACGGGGGCAACCCUGGUGGCGAGUGGCGAACGGGUGAGUAGUGCAUCGGAACGUACCCGGAAGUGGGGGAUAACGUAGCGAAAGUUACGCUAAUACCGAAUAUUCUGUGAGCAGGAAAGUGGGGGACCGCAAGGCCUCACGCUUUCGGAGCGGCCGAUGUCGGAUUAGCUAGUGGGCGGGGUAAAGGCCCACCAAGGCGACGAUCCGUAGCGGGUCUGAGAGGAUGAUCCGCCACACUGGGACUGAGACACGGCCCAGACUCCUACGGGAGGCAGCAGUGGGGAAUUUUGGACAAUGGGCGAAAGCCUGAUCCAGCCAUGCCGCGUGAGUGAAGAAGGCCUUCGGGUUGUAAAGCUCUUUCGGCUGAAAAGAAAUCGCACAGGCUAAUACCUUGUGUGGAUGACGGUAUCAGCAUAAGAAGCACCGGCUAACUACGUGCCAGCAGCCGCCGUAAAAC